AAUUUUUUUUAUAUUCCCUUUUAAUUCCAACCAAUUAUUGUAAUAUGUAUUAGUCAUUAGGAUGUAAUAAGUUGUAAUAGUAUUUAGCUUAUGUAAAAUGAUUCACACAAUGCCAAAUCUCAUGUAAUGCAAUGCAUAUGGACAUGUUUAUGGGAUCAUGCUUGGUUAUUAUUUUUUUGACAUGGUUAUUCUAAAGUAAUUGGAUUGUUAAUGAAUGAAAUGAUUAUUUGGACAUUUGAAUGAUGUAAUGAAUGUUUGAAUUUGGUUUGAAUGAAA
rnacentral:lncRNA from 1 species